CUCCCAUAGGAUUUAGCAAAGGUGCCGCAAGAAGCAGGAAGGCUGAAAUUCCACCCACCACUAUCCUGGCGCUGUCAGAUGAUGGUGCCCCUACUCACAGGACACAUUGAGUGGUGACUUCUCACUUGUUGAAUUCUAUUGAAUCAGUAAAAGGAGGUGAUUUCAAACACCAUAUUUCCUGCUAGGCGAUAAAUCAGCCUGCUAGAAUACCAAGAUCAUUGCUUAUUCAAGAUCAAAAUGCCAAACAGCAAAAAAAUAAAAAUAAAAAUCAUUCCCUCAGAAUAGUUUUUUCUCCUUCUACUUGACAUCAGUGUUUGUUGGGUGUGGAUAGGCAAUGGCAUCAAAACAGCACACAAAAACUUGGGGGAAACAAUUGCGGAGGAGAGAAAUGUAGAUAUUUGUGGCCAUGGAAACAGAAUCAUCUCUGAGCUUUUUCUGGGAAGGUCCUCAAACCUCACACCCUUCCAGGAGGUCAGAUGCAACCAAAUAAUUCCCUCAGCCAUGAGGCAAGCAUGUAGGCACAAGGCUGGUGGGAGCUGAUAGGGAUUCCUGGUUAACCAGAAUUUGUUUGAAGCACUGGCUGAACUCUGUGGUCUUAGUUGCUGUCUCAGUCCCUGGAAGCAAUUUGUGGUGAGAAGGGAGAUGGAGCCUCAAACAAAGAGCUCCCCUAGAGAAGGACGGUGGAGCAAGAGUUAUGCAAAGCUCUGGUGGUGGCGAGGCAGCUGCUGGGAAGGGCAUAUCUGGUUUUCAUUUCCAUUAGCUUGAAAGGAAGGGAGAAGAAAUUGAUAGUUCAUUAGCAAGACAAGAUAGCGAACAGAGAAAAGGGAGAACGCAAAUUCUAUUGGGCUUGUCCAUAAGCCACACACAAAGCACAAAGAAUUGGA